GUCGCGGGUCUGACCCGGCCGCCUCCUGCUAUUGGCCGAGCCUUCGCCGGCUCCGCCCUGAUUGCCAGGAGGCUCGCCCAAUCACAGAGGACACAGUCCUGCCUUAAGCCGAAGGGGCCGCCGGCCUACCCAACUCUGAUUGGCUCUCGGACUGGCAAGCGCAAGCGCAAGCGCGCACGCGACGCCGGCCUGCUCGAGGGUUUGGCCGAAGCGAGGCGAUCGCCAAGCGCCGACCUCGAUGGGCAACCACCGCAUGGACCCUGCGCCGCGAAUCGGAACCAGGAGCUUUUUGCUAUUGGCCCAGAUUGGCGAAUAGGUGUGAUUGGCAAGGGCCUCGUCCAAUCAGAAGAGAAAUACGUGCGGCCUCGAGGCGGGGUAGAUGUUGGUUGCUGGCUUGGUUUGUUCCACUCUGAUUGGCUCUCUGACUAACGGGAGCGCUACCUCCCUGGUCCAGGCGGCUUACCUAGGGCAGCGGGUCUCUCUUCGCGGACUUGUAUUUCCGGGCCGCCUCCUGCUAUUGAUGGAAUGCGGUUAGUUAAAAGUCUGGUCCAGCCGCAGAGGAUGCACUUUCAGGCCUUGGGCUAGAGUGACCACUGACAGCCGGCUUGCCGAUCCGCCCCACUCUUAUCGGCCAUCUAACUAAUGGGUGCGAGCUCUGCACUCCUGAAGCUCGAUGACAGCGCUGGUUCGGGGCACGAGGACCGACCACCCAGCUGCUCCCUGCCAUUGGCUGUGUCCUCGCCGGCUCCGCCUCUGGUUGGCAGGGAGCCCGUUCGUAGGGGCAGCGCCUUGGUCCGGCUUGCAUUGAUGGUCCGGCUUGCAUUGACUCUGUGACUAAGGGGUGCGAAGCUCCAGGCCACCUUGUCUUCCCUGGCCUCGUGCGUCCUGGGCAGGCGGACAGUCCUGGCUUGGUCAGGCUGUCCGUCUCCGAGGAUGCGCUGAGGAGGGCUGAGGGCACAGGCGGUGUAGAAGAUGGAAACUGAGCCCUGCAACAACGUGGCUGGCCCUUCUUGAACCACAAGGAGAAAAAGAAUCCAUACCUGCAACUCCAGAUGACCACACCACAAUAGCAUCAUUACCUCUGAGCCAGGACACAGUUGGAAACAGGCUCUUCCAGAAGGAUCUUCCCAGCUAGCCAGAUGACCCACUUGACAGAACACGCCUCAGUCACUCCGUGACUAUGUGACCUCUGUUGGGGGAAGUUCCUUCAGAAAAAGCCCCUGUGCUUUUCAGCAGCUCCUACAAGCUCUUGCCGGUCUCAGUAAACCACUUAAAGAGAAAACCAGAGAUUUAAUUGACAAGGCCACACUGGGAAGAGGAGAUGCUAAAGAAGUCCUGUUACCUCCAAGCUCAUCUGAUACCUGACAUGAACUUGAGGUUAAGCAGAUGAAUUGGAGCAGAGGAAAAGAGACACACAUACCGAAGCAGCCCCAGGCAAGGUGUGGCUUGUCUUCGGGUUUUCUCCAAGCUGAUUAGGGUUACUCCUGCUCCAGCUGUGGCCUCGCCAUCAUGGACAGUUGUCCCCAGGGUCUAUGCUGUGAAUUUCUGCUGUUCCUAGAAUCCAAGAUGACUUUCAGACUUAGAACUGUGACUGAACACCUUGAUGAGCACCUGAAAGGGGACAGUGUUCACCAUGCUUCUUUCUGUGUCUCUUAAAACUCCUCACACUCUACCCUUCUUCCCAGCGUCCUCCUAGUCUGGCUCGCCCACCCAAUCUCUUCCUGGCCAGCUAUUGGCCAGUCAGCUCUUUGUUAACUGAUGAGACUAACGCAUAUUCACAGUGCGCAGAGAUUGUUCCACAGCAGGUGGCAAACACACGUAACCCCUGCACAUGGGAGACUGAGGCAGGAAGAGUUUGAGACCAGACUGGGAUACACAAUGAGACCUAAAAAAAAAAAGAGUUGAAGUUGUAUUUUCGUUGGUAGAAUACCUACCAUGUACUAAGCCCCGGGUUCCACCCCAAUAAUGUAUUAAUUGGAUAGUAUGGUGGUAAUCAAAAUAAAACUUGGCCCAAU